rnacentral:hammerhead_ribozyme from 1 species
AUUCAUCUGACGAGUCUUAAAUAGGAUGAAACGCGAAUCCUGAAU